rnacentral:lncRNA from 1 species
CCCAAUGCCAUAACCAUUUGUUGCGUUUCUCCUGAGCUUUUUUUCUCUGCACAAGAAAAUCUUUGCCUGGCUGCAAAGCAAAUCAAGUGCAGCUGAAGAAAGAGCUCCUCGGGGCAGCCAGAGACAAGGGCAUUCUCCUGGUCAGGGGCAGUGUGAAUCCAAAUGCUCAGAGGCUCAGGAGAGGCCAGACAUCAGAGCGUCCUGCUCCUAGGAGAAUGCUCUUUAGAUGGACUAUUCUUAAAUGGCACCCUCUGUGGAGACUUUAUUCCUUUCAACAGAAAUGGAGGACAACAACCAAUUGUCCUGCAUCACCCUCGCUGUGUAGUGAAUGAAAAGAAAGAGUUUUUUGGGGAAAAAAUGCAUUGGAAAAAUCCCAGUUCCUCAAGGAAGUGUCAUGAAUUUCUCAGGGAGUGUUUACAGCAGCAUUUUAGUCCAGAUGAGGAGGGUGCUUUGUAAGUGAAUCACUGCUCAUGGCACUUUGAUUUACACCACAGAGUGGUCAUAGAGCAUACGUGCCAGGUUCACUUCAGAAAAAACUAAACUGGAAGAUAAAUCUCAGAGACAAAUUUUAAGUGCACUGACUGCUCGUGGGCAUUCGGUUCAUAGAAAUUGAUUAAUGAAGUCCAAAUGAAAACCUCCCAAAUGUUUGGACACUUGGUCCUCAGCAUCAGCAGAUGGAUACAGAGGAGAGUGCUUGAAUGAUGAGAGAAGCCCAUUUUAUCAUAUCAGAAACAACUGGUUUGGUAAUUAGAUCAGAGGAUAUGAUUCAUGGAUAAACAACAGGAAGAGAAAAGAACUACCAAGUCACAAAACAAAGCGACACAAAAACAAGUGAGUAUGACUUGCUCUCAACCUAGAGAUUAGAAGGAAUGUGUAAACACACAUCUAAGGACUAAAUGGAAGAGCUAAGCAAAGCUGCAGUUUUGGAACAGCAUUCCACUGGAACAACACGGCUAAAUGGAGCCCUAAAAGGGUUAGUUAACCUUCUAAAAUGCAGUUUGUGGAAGCAAUUAUAUAAUGCAUGUGCUUUAAAUCUGACCAUUUAAUCUGUUAGAAGGCUAUGUUUCACUUCUAUGUAUUUUUGAAAUACUGAUGUAGGAUCUCCAUAUUCAUUUUUAAGUGCUGUUAAGUGUGAAGAAAAAAAAAAAACAACAAAAAACAGAGAUGACUUCGGACUGGCAAAAAAUUGAUUAAAUGUGUAGGAUGAGAAAUGCGUCCAUUAAACUUAGAUUUUAUGGAAAUAUUGAAAGACACUCUACAAAUGGUAUAACAGCCACAUAAUUGCAGCUCUUGGAUAUACAGACAAGUUACCAGUGGUGUCUGUUUAUUUACUUUUUGUUCUUGAACAGUGUAAAACGUAAAAAGGCAAUCAAGAGCAGGGACACUUAGAAUCAGUGUUGACUUUCAGUCAGGGGCUUUGCCAUGCAUUGUUUUCAAUUAGGAAGAGGAGAUGUGG